CCCUUAGAUGUUCUGGGCUGCACGCGCGCUACACUGAAGCGUUCAACGAGUAUUCACCUUGCCCGGGAGGGUUGGGUAAUCUUUUGAAAACGCUUCGUGAUGGGGAUAGAUUAUUGCAAAUAUUAAUCUUGAACGAGGAAUUCCUAGUAAGCGCAAGUCAACAGCUUGCGUUGAUUACGUCCCUGCCCUUUGUACACACCGCCCGUCGCUACUACUGAUUGGAUGUUUAAGCGAGGUUCUCGAACUGCUAGCGACUUAGCUUCGGUGAGGUCGCAGUGUGGGAAGUGAACCUAGCUUUGGUGUCUAGAGGAAGUAAAAGUCGUAACA
rnacentral:rRNA from 1 species